CCUACGGGUGGCUGCAGUCGAGAAUCUUCGGCAAUGGGCGAAAGCCUGACCGAGCGACGCCGCGUGUGGGAUGAAGGCCCUUGGGUUGUAAACCACUGUCAGAGGGGAUGUGUUAAAGCCAGAGGAAGCACGGGCUAAGUUCGUGCCAGCAGCCGCGGUAAUACGAACUGUGCAAACGUUAUUCGGAAUCACUGGGCUUAAAGGGUGCGUAGGCGGUUUGUUAAGUAGGGUGUGAAAGCCCCCGGCUCAACCGGGGAAUUGCGCCCUAAACUGGCGGACUAGAGUGAGAUAGGGGUGUGCGGAACUUCCGGUGGAGCGGUGAAAUGUGUUGAUAUCGGAAGGAACGCCGGUGGCGAAAGCGGCACACUGGGUCUCACUGACGCUGAGGCACGAAAGCCAGGGGAGCAAACGGGAUUAGAUACCCUAGUAGUC
rnacentral:rRNA from 1 species